AGAGUUUGAUCAUGGCUCAGAUUGAACGCUGGCGGCAUGCCUUACACAUGCAAGUCGAGCGGCAGCGCGGGGGCAACCCUGGCGGCGAGCGGCGGACGGGUGAGUAAUACAUCGGAACGUGUCCUUUCGUGGGGGAUAACCAGUCGAAAGACUGGCUAAUACCGCAUGAGAUCUCACGAUGAAAGCGGGGGACCGCAAGGCCUCGCGCGAUUGGAGCGGCCGAUGUCGGAUUAGCUAGUUGGCGGGGUAAAAGCCCACCAAGGCUACGAUCCGUAGCUGGUUUGAGAGAACGACCAGCCACACUGGGACUGAGACACGGCCCAGACUCCUACGGGAGGCAGCAGUGGGGAAUUUUGGACAAUGGGCGCAAGCCUGAUCCAGCCAUGCCGCGUGUGUGAAGAAGGCCUUCGGGUUGUAAAGCACUUUCGGCCGGAACGAAAUCGCGCGGAUUAAUAACUCGCGUGGAUGACGGUACCGGAAGAAGAAGCACCGGCUAACUACGUGCCAGCAGCCGCGGUAAUACGUAGGGUGCGAGCGUUAAUCGGAAUUACUGGGCGUAAAGGGUGCGCAGGCGGCGUCGCAAGUCAGGCGUGAAAUCCCCGGGCUUAACCUGGGAACUGCACUUGAAACUACGAUGCUGGAGUAUGGCA
rnacentral:rRNA from 1 species